rnacentral:misc_RNA from 1 species
CGGCCGUCGAGAGCGCGAACCGACCCGAGUUUUCCGGACGCCUCGUCGUCGUCGUCGUCGUCGUCGUCGUCGUCGACGAUCCUGUAGAUUUUGCACUUAACUAUAUAUAUAUAUAUAUAUACAUGUACAUAUGUACAUAAUUAACCUAGCGAACGAGCGAACGAUUAACCACCGACUUUGACCAUCCGCACACCCAUGCUGCUGCUGCUGCUGCUGCUGCUCCGCCAGGGCUGUUCUGCUCUCAGGUAAGAUAGGCCAAGGGGUUGCCUAUCAGUGUUUCAUCGCUCGAAGGUGACUGAAAAGCCAGGAACUGUGGCUAGUUCAAAUAAGCUGACAAAAACGUCAGACGAGAUGCCUGCAGUGAGCGUGUGCGACCCACUGGCCAGGGCUAUGCACCACAACCUGGACGUAGCCGGUCAGUCUAAAUCGUCAGAUGACCUGAACAUCACUGGCCUGACAGGAGGUGCCUCGCGCAUACUGUGCUCCGAGCUUGACUAUGAAGAGACCGAUAACUAUAGGCAGACCGUCCAAGACCACCUGAAAAACAAGUACAUAGUCCUCAGUCUGCCCAAGCAGGAGAACAGCUCCUCUGGGGACAAGACGACGACAACGGACGUCGGAGCUGGCAGUAGCAGCAGCGGUGGUACGAAGACGACUGGUUCAGCCAAGGAGCCGAGGCUACCUGAGCCAAAGGUCGUGCUCUAUGCGCCCGAUAGAAUCAGCCUUGGCUGGGCCAAGGACUUCCCCGUCGGUGCGGGCAUGUUAAACGUUGGCAACACGUGUUACCUCAACAGCACGCUACAAGCCCUCUUUCACGUGCCUGCCCUCGUCAAUUGGCUCCUAACCGACACUCAUCAUAAAAGCAAGUGCAGCGAAGGAAUCGACAGACAUCGUUUUAUUUCAGAUGGAGCUGGUGAGUGCCUUACGUGUGCAGUGGCAAAGACUCUAACUGCCAGUCAUCAAAAGUCUGGCGAAGUAAUCAGGCCUUUUCUCGUUUAUGAUAAACUUAAAAUUAUUUGUCGAACAUUGGUACACGGACAGCAAGAAGAUGCCCACGAAUUUUUACGAUAUCUUUUAGAAGGCAUGGAAAAGGCUUACUUGUCGAGACACAAGGCCACUAAAUUAGAUAGUUAUUCGAAAGAAACUACUCCUAUUAAUCAAAUUUUCGGAGGCUAUAUUAGAACCGAAGUCAAAUGCCUUCAGUGCGGACACAUUUCUACUACUUUUCAACAUUUUCAGGAUCUUCUGUUGGAUAUUCGAAAAGCCAACACUAUCGACGAAGCCCUCGCUGGUUACUUCGGUCGGGAAAUGCUCGACAACAACGACUACAAAUGCGAAUCGUGCAAGCGGCGCGUACCUGCCUGCAAGCAGUUCACCCUCGAGCGACCGCCGAAAGUGUUGUGUUUACAGCUGAAGCGUUUUAGCGUAAUGGGGGGAAAGAUUUCGCGUCACGUAAGUUUCAAGCAGACCAUCGACAUGGGUCCUCACAUAAGGCGUAAACCGGGUGAGCCCAUAAGCAAGGUCAUCUACAAGCUCACCUCGAUGGUCACUCACAUGGGUCCUUCUGUCAAUUGUGGACACUACACUGCCAUUGCACAAGUGUCCUCGGGCAAAUUUUUCUCUUUCGAUGAUUCUAGCGUUCGCCAAGUUAGCCUGAAUAGUGUGACGAGCACCAACGCUUACAUAAUGAUCUUCGAGAUGGAGCCGUCCUCCAUCGCGAACGGCCAAGCCCUAAACAGUCAGUUGAGCAGCUCGAAAGGCGAGAUAUCGCUAUCAAAAUCGCCGUCGUCAAGUCUGUCGUCCUACUCGCACUCAAACGGCGUGUCGAGUAGCAAGCUGCUGGAUCACGGCUCCGGCAGUUUAAGCAGAGCUCUGACCCCGUCAAGAAACGGCGAGGGCAGUUCCUCGUCGUCGUUAUCGGCAUCCACGAGAUUAGCGCUCAGCUCUAGGCCCCUAUCGUCGUACACGUCGUCUUAUGGUUCUCGCUCGCUCACGCGGGAUAGCAGCUUAAACAGAAUUACCUCAACGCCACCUUCACCUCCACUGACGUCUCUAUCGCACCUCACAUUGCCGCUCAGUAGCAGCGUGAGGCGCAGCUAUCAUCUCAGUUCGCAGCCGUCGUCUUCUUACUUGGAGAAGAAUAGACUGAACGAGACGUCAAAAAGCGGUAAACUGGUCGAUUACGACGGCGACUCGAGCGAAGACGAGGACAAGACCAGUCACAGUACCUUGAAAAAGUUCCGGGACGAGCAGGAGCCCCAAAAGUUCUCUGGAAACAACGGUUCGUCCUCACCAAGGUCGUCAAAUAAGUCAAACGGUAACUCCCACGCGUACUCGCCGCGGCGCGCUACCUCGAGAUCGCCCACAAGCAGUAACCACAACAGCAACAAUCACCAUCACAACUACGCGCCCUCGAACGGCAUGGACUCGGUGUCGGCAAACGGCAACGGCAAUCGCAACGGCCGCAGUAGUAGCAGUAAUGGCUCAUCAUCGCGAGGUUCUUCGCCCAAAAAUGUCAUUAACAACGGUAAAGCAGAGCACUCCAAUGGCUCAUCUGAUAAAUCUAAGGAUAAGUGGCACUCGUCGAAGUCGCGAACGAAUUCUCCAGACAGGAAGACUUAUGCAAAGACCUCGGCUGGUCUUAACAAGGGUUGGCAAGUCAGUAAGGAGAGCUCGCCGCCUUCGUCUACCGCUACGGCGAAUGGAUGCAGAUUCGAGAAGUUACAACGGAAAUAAUCGUUCUGAAAGUACAUCUCAUUUACAGAAAACAUCAUUGUAUGGCUAUGGAAACAUGGGGGUGUUAAGUUGGGACGGCGGAAAAGCACGCUUGGACAGGGAAAUCGACUCUGAUCGGCGACAAGAAAUCGUGAAGCGCAGAUAUGAUGACGAUG